rnacentral:rRNA from 2 species
AUUGGACAAUGGGGGAAACCCUGAUCCAGCGACGCCGCGUGAGUGAAGAAGUGUUUCGGCAUGUAAAGCUCUAUCAGCAGGGAAGAAAAUGACGGUACCUGACUAAGAAGCCCCGGCUAACUACGUGCCAGCAGCCGCGGUAAUACGUAGGGGGCAAGCGUUAUCCGGAUUUACUGGGUGUAAAGGGAGCGUAGACGGUUCUGCAAGUCUGGAGUGAAAGCCCGGGGCUCAACCCCGGGACUGCUUUGGAAACUGUGGAACUAGAGUGCAGGAGAGGUAAGUGGAAUUCCUAGUGUAGCGGUGAAAUGCGUAGAUAUUAGGAGGAACACCAGUGGCGAAGGCGGCUUACUGGACUGUAACUGACGUUGAGGCUCGAAAGCUCUGGGGAGCAAACAGGAUUAGAUACCCUGGU